UCGCUCACAUCUCCUUAUCACUUUUCCAGCCCAGCUAUAGCUUCUGAAUCCGUUGGACGGAGAACUGAUAAGGGCAUGUGCAUGA
rnacentral:pre_miRNA from 13 species